AACGUACGCUGGCGGCACGCCUAACACAUGCAAGUCGAACGAAGUAGCAAUACUUAGUGGCAGACGGGUGAGUAACAUGUAGGUAUCUGCCCUUUGGCCUGGAAUAACACGAGGAAACUUGUGCUAAUACCGGAUAAGUCUUUACGGAGAAAGCUUUAUGCACCAUUGGAUGAGCCUGCACUUGAUUAGUUUGUUGGUGGGGUAAUGGCCUACCAAGACUUUGAUCAAUAGCUGAUUUGAGAGGAUGAUCAGCCACAUUGGGACUGAGACACGGCCCAAACUCCUACGGGAGGCAGCAGUGGGGAAUCUUGCACAAUGGAGGAAACUCUGAUGCAGCGAUGCCGCGUGAGUGAAGAAGGCCCUUGGGUUGUAAAGCUCUUUCGUCGGGGAAGAAAAUGACUGUACCCGAAUAAGAAGGUCCGGCUAACUUCGUGCC
rnacentral:rRNA from 1 species